rnacentral:rRNA from 1 species
UCCCAGACUCCUACGGGAGGCAGCAGUAGGGAAUCUUUCACAAUGGGCGAAAGCCUGAUGGAGCAACGCCGCGUGCAGGAUGAAGGCCUUCGGGUUGUAAACUGCUUUUAUAAGCGAGAAAUAUGAUGGUAACUUAUGAAUAAGGAUCGGCUAACUACGUGCCAGCAGCCGCGGUAAUACGUAGGUGGCAAGCGUUAUCCGGAUUUAUUGGGUGUAAAGGGCGUGUAGGCGGGAAUGCAAGUCAGAUGUGAAAACUAUGGGCUCAACCCAUAGCCUGCAUUUGAAACUGUAUUUCUUGAGUGCUGGAGAGGCAAUCGGAAUUCCGUGUGUAGCGGUGAAAUGCGUAGAUAUACGGAGGAACACCAGUGGCGAAGGCGGAUUGCUGGACAGUAACUGACGCUGAGGCGCGAAAGCGUGGGGAGCAAACAGGAUUAGAUACCCGUGUAAG